GAUGAAUUCCAGAAUAUGUUCCAGUUGCUGUUGGCUGGAGGAAAUCACCUCCUUCCUAGGAAAGCACCAAGGAUGUGGUGUGGGGCAGAGCAGGCUGAACUCCACAAAGGGAAGGGAAACCCCUUAACACCAUUUGCCCGGGUAGACUUUUGAAGGACUUCAGGCACUGCUGUUCCUUCCCUGAAUUGCUGAGAAAAUGCCUAAGACAGCAGGAAAGCUGAAGAAAGGGCACAAGUGGGACAGACAGAAACAUACCCAAAUGAUAAAGAAGUUUUAUACAAUUUAGCUUCUCUCACAGUGGUGAUGUCAUCCUUUCAGAUGAGAGUCAGGACCCUCAAG
rnacentral:lncRNA from 1 species